rnacentral:rRNA from 1 species
CCUACGGGCGACAGCAGUGAGGAAUAUUGGUCAAUGGCCGUAAGGCUGAACCAGCCAAGUCGCGUGAAGGAAGAAGGAUCUAUGGUUUGUAAACUUCUUUUAUAGGGGAGUAAAGGUAUCGACGUGUGGAUAUUUGCAUGUACCCUAUGAAUAAGCAUAGGCUAACUCCGGUCCAGCAGCCGCGGUAAUACGGAGGAUGCGAGCGUUAUCCGGAUUUCGUGGGCUUAAAGGGUGCGUAGGUUGUUUUUUAAGUCAACGGUGAAAGUUUGUGGCUCAACCAUAAAAUUGCCGUUGAAACUGGAAGACUGGAGUGUGUGUGAGGUAGGCGGAAUGCGUGGUGUAGCGGUGAAAUGCAUAGAUAUCACGCAGAACACCGAUUGCGAAGGCAGCUUACUAAGCCAUAACUGACACUGAGGCACGAAAGCGUGGGGAUCAAACAGGAUUAGAUACCCGUGUAGUC